rnacentral:rRNA from 1 species
AUUGAACGCUGGCGGCAGGCUUAACACAUGCAAGUCGAACGGUAACGGGGAGGGAGAUUACUUUCUCUGCUGACGAGUGGCGGACGGGUGAGUAAAGCUUGGGAAUCUGGCGAAUGGAGGGGGAUAGCCACGGGAAACUGUGGGUAAUACCGCGUAAUGUCUAAGGACCAAAGGGGUGGGACUGAGAGGCCACCUGCCAUUUGAUGAGCCCAAGUGGGAUUAGGUAGUUGGUGAGGUAAGGGCUCACCAAGCUGACGAUCUCUAGCUGGUCUGAGAGGAUGGCCAGCCACACUGGAACUGAGACACGGUCCAG